rnacentral:rRNA from 1 species
UACGGGGGGGGGCAAGCGUUGUUCGGAAUUACUGGGCGUAAAGGGCUCGUAGGCGGCCAACUAAGUCAGACGUGAAAUCCCUCGGCUUAACCGGGGAACUGCGUCUGAUACUGGAUGGCUUGAGGUUGGGAGAGGGAUGCGGAAUUCCAGGUGUAGCGGUGAAAUGCGUAGAUAUCUGGAGGAACACCGGUGGCGAAGGCGGCAUCCUGGACCAAUUCUGACGCUGAGGAGCGAAAGCCAGGGGAGCG